UUUUUGCAUUGUGAAACUGCGAAUGGCUCCAUAUAUCAGUCAUCAUUCCUUUGGCGAUAAUUCUCUGUAUGGAUAACUGUGGCAAUCCCAGAGCUAAUACAUGCUUCCAAAUCCAACUUUGCAGAAGGGUGGCAAUUAUUAGACACAGAACUUCCAUGGACUUCGCUCCUUGAUGGAUGACUCAUUGUAAUACGUGAAUCGCAGCAAUCCUGUGUGCGAUGGUCCAUUCACAUGUCUGACCUAUCAGCUUCGGACGGUAAGGUAUUGGCCUACCGUGGCGACGACGGGUGACGGAGAAUUAGGGUUCGAUUCCGGAGAGGGAGCCCGAGAAACGGCUGCCACAUCUAAGGAUGGCAGCAGGCGCGCAAAUUACCCAAUCCUGACACAGGGAGGUAGUGACAAGAAAUAACAAAACAAGGCGCUAUUGUCUUGUGGUUGGAAUGAGUGAGAUGCAAAUUCCCCCGCGAGUAUCCAUUGGAGGGCAAGUCUGGUGCCAGCAGCCGCGGUAAUUCCAGCUCCAAUAGCAUAUAUCAAAGUUGUUGCGGUUAAAAAGCUCGUAGUUGGAUUUCUGUCGAGAGCAUCUGUUCCGCUCAUUGGGCGUGCAUUUGGUUUGCUUUGGGCAUAGUUCAGACUAUCUGUGAGGCACUUGACUGUGUGUCCCGAAAGUCUGAUCUUUUACUUUGAGGAAAUUAGAGUGUUUCUCGCAGGCAUACGCCUUGAAUUUAAUAGCAUGGAAUCAUGACUUAGGACUUUACUUCUGAUAUGUUGGUUCUUAGGAAGAAAGUAAUGACCAACAGGGACAACUGGGGGCAUUCGAAUUUAACAGUCAGAGGUGAAAUUCUUGAAUUUGUUAAAGACGGACAACUGCGAAAGCAUUUGUCACGGAUGUUUUCAUUGAUCAAGAACGAAAGUUAGGGGAUCGAAGACGAUCAGAUACCGUCCUAGUCUUAACCAUAAACAAUGCCGACUAGAGAUCGGAGGACGUUGAUUGUCUCGACUCCUUCAGCACCUUCUGACAAAUCAAAGUUUUUGGGUUCCGGGGGGAGUAUGGUCGCAAGAUUGAAACUUAAAGGAAUUGACGGAAGGGCACCACCAGGAAUGGAGCCUGCGGCUUAAUUUGAUUCAACACGGGAAACCUUACCAGAUCCAGACAUAACAAGGAUUGACAGAUUGAUGGCUCUUUCUCAAUUUUGUGGGUGGUGGUGCAUGUCCGUUCUUAGUUGGUGGAGUGAUUUGUCUGGUUAAUUUCGUUAACGAACGAGAUCUUAACCUACUAAAUAGUUUUGCGUUACCUUCAUUACGUGUAUCACUUCUUAGAAGAACGUUGUGUGUCUAACACAAGGAAGUCUGAGGCAAUAACAGGUCUGUGAUGCCCUUAGAUGUUCUGGGUUGCACGCGCGCUACACUGAUGCGUUCAACGAGUUUAACACCUUGCCCGAACAGGCUUGGUAACCUUUUCAAUACACAUCGUGACAGGGAUAGAAUAUUGCAAUUAUUUUUCUUUAACGAGGAAUUCCUAGUAGGUGCGAGUCAACAGCUCGUGCUGAUUACGUCCCUGCCCUUUGUACACACCGCCCGUCGCUCCUACCGAUUGAGUGGUCCGGUGAAUAAUUUGGACUGGUGCGUUUGUUAGCCUCUAAUCACUGUUGCAGAAAAUUUUGUGAACCUUACCACUUAGAGGAAGGAGAAGUCGUAACAAGGUUUCCGUAGGUGAACCUGCAGAAGGAUCA
rnacentral:rRNA from 1 species